UUUUUUUGUUUGUAACUUCACAGUUGAAAGACAAAAUAGAAGCUCAUUGAGGGAAUCAAGGAUCUCUAUUGAUUAGAUGAUAUUACAGAGUCAUAAUCUAUCCCUACUGUUUGCCUACCAUUUGGCUCUUGUUGCCUAUAGAUGCAAAACCCACAAGGAAAUUGAGGAAGAAACCCUGUUUUCCAUUUUUUUAGAAAUGGAGACAGUUUUUGAGGUCUUGACAAGGAUGUAUCAGUUGUGUGAAAUAGUGAAAGCCUGUGUGUUCACCGUGAGAGUGCCAGAUAACCUAUUUUGGAUUGUUACUUUCAGUAAAACUGAAGUCUAUCUUAAACAUCAAGGAAGCACAAAUAUGGAAUACAGGGUACAAAUAUGAUAUGAUAAUUUGUCAAAAUCUAUAUAUAUAAUAAACUAAGAUAUAGCUAUAGCAGGGUACAAUAGUAAAAAUAUAUAUUUGAACGAGUCAAAAGUGAAAGACUACCUAUUUUUUCACUCAACAGACUUGUAAUUCCUCAUGGUUUUUGGUAAUUUAAUCGUGAUUUGGUGAAAUGAAGCCUGAGUAAUUGAUGCAGGACAAAUAGGGACAGCGUUGUAAGGACUGUUCUAGGGUUGUGAAAGUGCUGAAAUUUAAGAAGAAAAAAAAAAAAAGAAGAUAAAUUUAGGAAUCACUCCUAGAAUCCCUUAGGCAUCACACAACCCAUAAAGAAGCUUCAAAGUUCUCAACUUUUUAUAAAAUAUCAACUUUAUUGAAUUAUAAGCAUUACGUGACUUUAUAUAGAAUUAGGGGACUUUUUAAAUCAACUAUAACCAAAAAGGAAACUAUUAUAAUAUCUUUGACUUCUAAAACUAAUUUAAGACUAAAUAAGAAACAUAAAUAAAACUCAAUUAAACCCACAAGACGACUCAUGGGCAACCCCUAUAGUCCAUGACAACAAUAAUGAAAUUAUCAAAAUACCCUUGACCUAAAAAUCCUACAAAACAUAAAAAUAAUCAUAAAAUAAUACUAUAAACAUAAUUGUAUAAAAUUCCUAUCAGUUUGAAAUCAUGCCAAUGUCAAAUAUCAUUGCUUCUUUGAAUUUAGCAUUCCUUGAACUUCUUAUACUUGCAUCAUUCUUCCUUGGUUAGAAAAAACUCAACCUCGAGUUUUGAAGUGUUGGGAGUAUAGGAAUCCACAAGCUUUGAAAUUGCAUCCAUGGCUUCAUAUUAAAAUGUUCAAGUUGACGCCGCCUUUUCUUCGUUGCAUGAGAUUGCAAAAAAAAUAAUGAGAGAUUGAUCUUUUCAAUCAUGUCACUAAAUUUUUCUGGACUAACAAAGUCAAUUGGCAUAGAAAUCAAAUCUUUGAAUUCAUCCAAAUCAAUUUUCAUAUGACUUUCUUUGAUAUUCCCAACUUCGAUUCUUUUCUUUUUAGCUUCUUUUCCUAGCACAAGGUCAUCUUUUGAUUCGCCAUUGGCUACUUCAUUGAUUAUGAUUGGAACAAAUUCAGUAGGUGACUUUGUAGGCACAUCGGAGAUUUCUAGUUGCAAUAUCAUGACCUUUAAAGCCAUAAUAAGUUCUGGAACAGCAAUAGGAUGCAUUAAUUCUUCACUCCUUACAGCUUGUGUGACAUCCGAGUCUUCUAUUUGGACCUCAUCCUUUUCUCGAGUAACAAUUGGAUCUCCUGGGGGUGCUUUUGAAUCAUCAAUAAGAGUAUUUUUUUUCCCUUUAUAAUUUGACUAUUUACGACCUUCUAUUGGACUGCUUGCCUUUCCAAAGAAUUAAGCUGAACUUGAAAACUAUAUAACUGCUCCACAAUUUUAAAAAGAAUUUGAGCUCUUUGGUUUUCAAAAAAUAUUCUCCUUCUGAGAGAUCUCCUAGGAUGCGUAGACAUGUUUUUGAACUUCCACAAAACAAUAGAAUCUUUCACCCUGAUACCAAACUGAUGCAGGACGAAUAGGGACAGCAACAAAUCUAGGCUUUUGGGGCUGAUUUUAAUUGGAUUUUAUGGCUGCAAUUGCAAUAAGAAUAUGGGGAACAAGGAGGGUUUGUUUAGGGUAAUAUAUAAGUAAGAGUUUAAGUAUGAAAAGAUGGGAUUUUAGCACUAUUUAGGGGCUGUUAUAAGGCUAUGAACAGUAACUCGUGAACAGUAAACUAAAACAGAAAAGAAGAAGAAUGAAGAAAAUAAAUCUAGGAAUCACUCCUAAAAUCCCUUAGGCAUCACACCUAGGUUUGAUUGCAUCACAUAACCCAUGAAGAAACUUCAAAGCUCUUAACUUUUGUUAAAAUAUCAACUCUAUUGAAUUAUAAGCAUUACAUAGCUUUUUAUAGAAUUAGGGGACUUCCUAAAUCAACUAUGACCAGAGAAAAAUGAACUAUUGUAAUAUAUCUAACUUCUAAAACUAAUUGGAGACUAAAUAAGAAAUAUAAAUAAAACCUAAUUAAAUAACUUGACUCACAAGACGACCCAUGGGUGAUCCCUACAGUCCAUGACAACAGUUAUGAAAUUACCAAAAUAUUCUUGGCCUAAAAUUCCUACAAAACAUAAAAAUAAUCAUAAAAUAAUACUCUAAUAAUACUAGAAACAUAAUUAUAUAAAAUUCCUAUCAGUUUCUCUAUGAUAUCAUGCUAAUGUCCAAAUAUUAUUGCUUCUUUGAAUUUAGCCUUCCCUGAACUUCUUAUACUCUGCAUCAAUAAUGAAGUUGUUCACUAGCUUUGCCUUUCUAUUGAGUUUGUUGAGCACAAGCUGACAUUCUUUGCAUUUUUUUUUUUUCUUUCAACUUUGAAAGAAUGCCUAACCUAACACCACACAAAAUGCACAACUGUUUGCUGCUUUGAAAUUCAUAGUUUGUUUGCCUUCCGAUGUUGCAUAAUAUUCCCCCUACUUGUUUUUUUAAUAAAAAUAAAAGGUUUGAUGAUAUGUUUUUGCACGGACAUUAUGGAGAGUCGACGUUAUACUAAAGUAAAUAUUUUGUUCAAAGUCGUUCUCAAAGAAAUUCUUGAGAAGUUUAAUCUUAAGCUAGCAAUUCACUCAAUCGAGAAAAUUGGAUGUAAUCAUAAACCUGCUUUCAUAGCUAGUGUUGACAAGAAAAAGAAGUUUUAUGGAACAGAAAAUUCAACGAAACAAGGAGCCAAGAAAGAAGUAGCUAUGAUGGUGAUCAAGCAUCUUAACAAUCAAACUGAAUUGGCAAAUGUCAAAGCAGACCAUGAAAAACUACAUGAAGAUUAUGACAAACUUUCGGCUGAAAAUGAAGAAUUGAAGAAGUAGCUACAGAAUGCAAUUACUCAAAGUGAAAAAUCAACUGAUAUGCUUUCUGAAGACUUGAAUACUGAUUUGCCAAGGACCAUUGCAUCUAUCAGUUCAUUCUUUUCUAACGGUAAAAUAUGUAUUGUCAGCAACGCCAAUUCAUACGAAGCAACCAUGAACUGUGAUAUGUCAACGUUUUGUCAUCUUCUUCCAAAUAAUGAUAAUGUUCAUUAUUGGUAUAAGUUCUCAUCGGAGCACAAAAGCUCCCAUUUGCUUGGAAUAUUAGGGAAGGCCCGUGUAGGAGAUGAUCAAAUAAUACUAUUUUCUCAACCCGUGGACCAAAACUUUGAAGAUUGGACGCAACACAAUCUUCUCAUCAACCAAGACAAUCAUUUGACACCUUCUUUUACGGCCCUUUUAUUGGAUAUGUUGAAGGGGAUAAAUUACUUUCAUAGUGAACUAAACCAUGCACAUGGUGAAAUAUGCGGAAAAAACAUUUAUGUCAUUGAUGGGAGGGCAAAAUUUGCUAAUGUGGUGGAUAUUAAUUUUAAAAAAUCUUAUAUUGAUGAUAUCAAUAGCUUUUGCAAAAUGGUAAAAUCACCAUUCAAGGCCAAAAACAUUCCGCUUCCAUUGGAGUUGAAGUAUCUUCUUUCAAGCUUGAAAAAACCAAAUGGGUUGUGUAAUUCUCUUAACCACCCUGUUCUGUUGAAUUCAUAUGGCAGAGCCAUGUACAGGCAUAUGGCACUUAAGGAAACCCGUCAUAUGAAAAAUUAUGGGAACUUCAACCAAGCAAUGAUAGCAGCAUAUCCUAAAGAAAAAAACGAAAAUAGAAAUCUGAACUUUUCUUGGAUUAAAAAAGUUAGGGAUGGGAAGGAAUCUUAUUCGUCAGUGUUGUAUUAUGACCCUAGCCAAAAGGAUGGACAAGGCCAACAAAUUAAAUACAACAAUUCGCCAGAAGAGUUUUUAUGAUUCAGCAGAAACGUUCAACUACACCUAGACGUAAGAAUAUCAAUUUGUUACUAAUUUUGUUCGAGUAUUUUUGAAUUUUAUUCUAAUUUUGUAUUUUUUUGGUUCAGGAGACAGAGGAAGAAAAAGACAAGUAUUUGAAUUCAAUUGACCCGCAUUUUUUGGGGAUAUUGCAUGAUAUACUUACUUCACAAUCUAUAUUUAUAAAUUUGGAGUGAUGGGUCCCCUUACAGGCAUUGAGGAGCAAACUUGGGCUCAAGCAAUUCAAUUUUAGAAAGGUUCCUGAUUGUGGUGGCGAUGCAGAUGACAAGUGCUGAUACUAGAAGGUAUUUUGGAGGGCAACUGUGUUUUGCUUGCUUAGAAAAGGAGGAGCUAUUGCGGAUUUCGUAUUUCUCACCUUUUUCUUUUACUGUUUCUUUUGUGAUCGAUGUCAUUCCUUUUGUGACGGAUUUGAACACAACUACUGCUUUGUGAUUUGAGUUUGUCAUUUCUUUUGUGAAGGAUUUGGAACACAACUACAGCUUUGUGGUUUGAGUAUAUUAGAAAUGGUUAUUGUGUUGAAAAAAAAAUUGUAUUUUGAUGGCUUGUGGUUACAAUGGGUAGUUUUAAUGUUAUGGUAAAUAUGGUCUUAAUGUUAAAAUAUACCAAGAGUUGCCAUGCAAUCUAUGUAAUGGAAGCAUGAAUAGGAGAAUGUAAUUAGAAUAAUAUGAAUGAUACUUUCUUCUCCAAGUCUCUUCCAAAAUUGUGUGAAUAAUUGUUGUGUAGCCAAUUUUAUUUCCAACACAUUAGACUUUGAAUUCCUUUUGCUCAUGUUUUAAUGUAAAUCUAUCGUUUUGUUUUUUGCCGACUCUGUGGUGUUGUUAGUGCGUUAUGAAUUUUGUAAUAUUUUGUUUGUCGCUAGAU